AUGUAUGGCGUCGUUGACUUUUUUUCAACGUUUGACCAUUCGUCUUAUUAAAAAAAAUUAUGUAAUUAUCAUUUAUUUUAUUGUGACUUGAUUUAUCAUCAAAUGUUCUUUAAGCAUGACAUAAAUAUUUUUAAAUUUGCACAAAAUAUUUGAAUAAGACGAAUGAUCAAACGUUAGUAAAAAAGUCAACGGCAUCAUAUAUU
rnacentral:pre_miRNA from 1 species